rnacentral:rRNA from 1 species
UACAGAGGGGGCUAGCGUUGUUCGGAAUUACUGGGCGUAAAGGGCGCGUAGGUGGCCUGUUAAGUCGAACGUGAAAUCCCUGGGCUCAACCCAGGAACUGCGUCCGAUACUGGUUGGCUUGAAUCCGGGAGAGGGAUGUGGAAUUCCAGGUGUAGCGGUGAAAUGCGUAGAUACCAGGAGGAACACCGGUGGCGAAGGCGGUUUCCUGGCCGAGUACUGACGCUGAGGCACGAAAGCGUGGGGAGCGAACGGG